rnacentral:rRNA from 1 species
GUCUGCGGCCAGGCCACCCUGAACAAGCCCGAUCCCAUCUGAUCUCGGAAGCUAAGCAGGGUCGGGCCUGGUUAGUACUUGGAUGGGAGACCACCUAGGAAGAUCAGGUGCUGUAGGCG